rnacentral:rRNA from 1 species
UACGUAGGGUGCGAGCGUUAAUCGGAAUUACUGGGCGUAAAGCGCGUGUAGGUGGAUUGGUGUGUCAGAUGUGAAAGCCCUGGGCUCAACCCAGGAACUGCACCUGAAACUACCAGUCUUGAGUGGUGGAGAGGGAAGUGGAAUUCCUGGUGUAGAGGUGAAAUUCGUAGAUAUCAGGAGGAACACCAGUGGCGAAGGCGGCUUCCUGGACACUAACUGACGCUGAGACGCGAAAGCGUGGGGAGCAAACAGG